CCGCAGUUGGCGUUUGACGAAAGAAAAUAAUAUUGGUGGCCAGGGUUAAGGAUGGCAAGCGAGCGUGUACAUUUCCCUUCAAAAUUAAUCGACCGAAACGUCGGUCCGAAAACACCAAUUUGUUUUUUUUUUUUUUUCAUUUCUUUAAUUUACAAAAAAAAAUUUUAAUCUAUUCGAAAAAUCGCGGAUGAACAACGCCAAAAAAAACGACCAAGUGAACAGUGAAAAGCUGUCGAAUACUUUUUUCCCUAAACCAUCGCUCCAACCACAUUGGGAUUCCGCGUUAUGAAAAUUGGCAAAACGCGUUUGACAUAUUUAUAAAACGGUGUAGAGACCUCCGUGAGGGAACCGAGAGCCAAAAGUUAUUUGGAAAAUGGAAAAAAAAACGUCGAAUUCGCGAAACGUGUCGAUUAUUUGCGACUGAAAACUUUCGGCUUGAAAUUUGAAAUAAAAAAAAAAAAAAAAAAAAAAAAAAAAAAAAAAAAAAAAAAAAAAAACUAAAAUAAAAAAUUAAUUAAAAUUUAAAAAGUCAAAUUCACGAAUCGUGUUGAUUAGUUGCGACUGAAAACUGUCGGCUUAAAAUUAAAAACAAUGAAAUAGCAAAAUAAAAAUAUUAAAAAAAAAAACAAUUUUUUAAUUAAAAUUAAAAAAAAAAUUGAAGUCGAAUUCACGAAACGUGUCGAUUAUCUGCGACUGAAAACUGUCGAUUUAAAUUAAAAAUAAAAAAUAAAUAUAUAAAAAAAAAAAACGCUUGAAAAGCAGCGACACUUUAGUGCAUCGAUCGAUCGGUUCCGAAAAUAGAAAAUAAAUAAUAAUCGAGGCGGAUUGAGAGCUAGCGGCCGGGAAAAAAGCGAUACGGAAGGGCAUGAGCCAGCAAAACGGCGAAUAAUAAUAGAGCCCGACAUGGAUUACUGCGCGCGGUUAAAAAACGCAGAGCUACCACCAAUAUGAAAAAAAGGCGAAAAAGCCCAUAAAAAUAAAAGUAAAAAGGAGGCUCGUGCAUUGCGUAGUACCCGAGAGGCGGAGAGCUCCACGUGUUUACCACUCCCAAGGUGCACCUUUAUCAUGAGAACAAUGCCAAUAAUUAUGCAUUCCGGGAACUCCGGCUCCGAGGUUACCUUCACUGAACUACUUUUGACGAUCGACCCCAAAUUUUCCAUCUUCAGGAGCGUGAUAAAUGGAACGGUAAGAUUUUUAAUAGCAAAUAAUGAAAUUAUUAGGAUUAAAAUUUUUUAUGCUGAAAUCGACCUUUUUUAGGAGAAAUUUGUGCAUAGUAUUGUUACGCAUCCCACCUCUUACAUGUGCAUGUAUUUGUCUUAUUACUAAAAUAAAGAUCUUAGGUUCAUUGGCA